CAUGCAGUCGAACGGAGAUUACAGGCGGAAGUUUUCGGAUGGAAGCUUGUAAACUUAGUGGCGGACGGGUGAGUAACACGUGAGCAACCUGCCUAUCAGAGGGGGAUAACGAUUGGAAACGAUCGCUAAUACCGCAUGACAUAGCGGAACCGCAUGGUUCUGUUAUCAAAGAUUUAUCGCUGAUAGAUGGGCUCGCGUCCGAUUAGAUAGUUGGUGGGGUAACGGCCUACCAAGUCGACGAUCGGUAGCCGGACUGAGAGGUCGAACGGCCACAUUGGGACUGAGACACGGCCCAGACUCCUACGGGAGGCAGCAGUGGGGGAUAUUGCACAAUGGGGGAAACCCUGAUGCAGCGACGCCGCGUGAGGGAAGACGGUCCUCUGGAUUGUAAACCUCUGUCUUCGGGGACGAAACGAGACGGUACCCGAGGAGGAAGCCACGGCUAACUACGUGCCAGCAGCCGCGGUAAUACGUAGGUGGCAAGCGUUGUCCGGAAUUACUGGGUGUAAAGGGAGCGUAGGCGGGCAGGCAAGUCAGGCGUGAAAUAUAUCGGCUCAACCGGUAACGGCGCUUGAAACUGCAGGUCUUGAGUGAAGUAGAGGUUGGCGGAAUUCCUAGUGUAGCGGUGAAAUGCGUAGAUAUUAGGAGGAACACCAGUGGCGAAGGCGGCCAACUGGGCUUUUACUGACGCUGAGGCUCGAAAGUGUGGGGAGCAAACAGGAUUAGAUACCCUGGUAGUCCACACCGUAAACGAUGAUUACUAGGUGUGGGGGGACUGACCCCUUC
rnacentral:rRNA from 1 species